GCCCUCAACUUGCACUGUUCACCUGUCAGGUUUUAUCUUUCAGGGGUCAGCCAAGCCAGUGGGAAGCCUACGACAUUCCCCUGGGUCACUUAGUGAACUCCUACUCUUUCAUCAGGCCUCACUUGAACAUGACUUCCUCCAGAAGCCUUCCCAGACAUCUUUGAGCUAGAAAGUCAGAAGAGUAGAAUUGGAACCCAGCUCAGUCUGAUGCCACAUCCUUUGUUGUUUCCAUUAAAUCAGAGAAUUUCUUAGUGCUGAGAAACUAUUCUGGAACUUACAACAAAGGCAAGUGGGAAGGGAGUCGCCUGGAAUUUGAUCUCUGUAGAUGCCUUUUUCAUUUAGUUUAUUUUUCAUUUUUAUCUGUUGCUUUGCUCUUAUCAAAUACAGAUAAAUAGCAGCUGCUACUGGUGCUGUUGAUUGCGAUUUCUGUUUGAAAAUGGAAUCUUGAGCAUCUGUUCUCUCCUUUUAUAUUUUACUGUGAGAGAAAAUCUAUUUUUUUCAAAAGGUAAUUCAUACACAUGGUAAAAAUUUAAACAAUAUAAAAACCUAUUUUUAAAAAACAUAUACUCUUGAGUAUUUCUGUGUACUUUGCUUUCAUCACUAAUACAUCUUUAAGUUUAUUCCAUAUUGGUACGCAAAAUACAUAUUUCAUUAUUCUAAUGAUUACAUAUUACUUAAUUCAAUUUGUAAUACAUAAAUGGCAGUUUACUAAUAUAACCAUAUAAAAAGUAAUCUAACAGAAGUUACAAUGUUUUAUCAGGUGAGCACUACACUGUUAUUUUAAUACUUGCCAGUUAAAUCAAGCAAUGUGACUGCUAAAAGUAGAAUUCCCAUACAGUAGGAAAGCACAAUUUAUUUUUAUAAUAAAAGCAAUAAAUGUGUUUAAAAAUUUCAA